UGUUUGUGAGUUGUGGUGGUUGGCGUUCGACGCGGACUUUCUCAGCCUACCUGUCUGUCUACACUUGCCAGAUCUGUGCUAAAGAGAAGAUCCCGAACUUCUGAUAGUCUCCAACCACCAACAGAUGUUCGUCCAGCAGAUCAUGCAGUCAUAGUUAACCAUCUGUGAAAGCGUCGUUGGUUUCAUGACCAAUGAGCUAGUACAGCGUGUUAGACAAGUUUUAACCUUGAAGAAGGCCGCCGCAAGAGGGCAAUACUGCUCUCAUCCAACUCGAAGACUGCCUCUCGUUCACAAGAAAUUUUCCACCAGACAGUCGUUUUGUUCUUUUGUUUUAAUGCGGUUGGCCUUGUCUCCAGAUUGAUCAACAGUGUGCGUUCCAACGUCUUCAGAAUCAUCGGGUUGACUGAGCGAAAGAAAAUGCUAGGAAUUAAAGAAAGCUUCUUGACCUUUGAAACAAAGACCUGAAACGAAAAGUCAAGGAUCGACAAAGCCGUUACUUCCGAAACUAUUGGCCACCUCUUCUUGUUUAUACUGAAACUGAACUGCUGAGGCUGGAGAGGUUUUUCAAAACGUCUGCUCAGAACAAGGACAGAGAAGACUCAUUUAUAUCGCACAGAAAAAGGGUCCAAGUAUGGAUCCCAUAAUUCGUGGUUACCUACGUCA